UUCUCUCUUCUCUCUCUUGGUUUCCUUUCCUCUAUAUUCUCUCUUUUGUUUCUCUCUCAACUUGGAUUGUCUCUCUCUAGAAUUGUUGGACCUAGUAAGGAUGUCCCUCAGUGACUUUUGUCGGCUCUAGUGAAGGGCGCCAGUCCAUAUUCAUUGGGCAACGUGCCAACCUCCCACCACAGCACUUACUGAGCACGUUUGAAUUUCAACAUCAUCAAUCAAUAUUGAGCUAUCUCUAUUGUAGCAUGACUCUUGAGUUGACUUGUUAGACUAACUGGAUCUGAUCAAUCCAAGCACUUGGAUGGUACUACCUAGCUGACCUUAAUAAAGAGUCUUGGUCUAAUGUCGCUACGACCACCCGUCACGCUAGCUUUACCCCAAUCAUUGCUGAAUACCACUGGAUUCUAUCAUUAUGAAUAUCUAUUGUGUUACCUGUAUCGUAGUCUGAUUCUUAUUUCAUGAUUUGACUGGUUGGACUGGCCAGAGUGAACCAACUCGGACCGCUGGACGCUGUUACCUAAUCGACCAUAUCCGUCCUACACCCGACUAUUAUUAGCUACCAUUGAAUCUAUAACUGAUGAUCCUUGAUUUAUUAUCCUUUUCUUGAUUAAAUAUAUAUAUUUUGAACAAAUGGAUUGAGUUACGUUAUGCUGACCGAUUCAAACAAUUGGGCGUUGUAAUAUAGCUGACAUUGUAAAUCUUCUAAUAUAAGUCUAUUGUCACAGUCAGCCCUAGUUUUGUAUGGCACUAUAGUCAUCCAUACAAAAAGAAGCCCAACAAGAUCUUAUCUCUGGUUUCUCUCUCCUCCUAUUUCUUCUCUUAGUAUUUCUCUCUCCACUCUAGUUUCUCUCUCUUUGUGUUGGUACUUUCUCUCUCUAGCUUGAUCCAAAAAAAAUGUUGGUUGUCAGGGCUGCUAGAUAGUCCUAGGUUGCUAUGUGAUGGUGGACCCUUUAGUGGAUUAAUAGAUGGUUCUUGGUUGUCGGAUACCUCGGAUAAUUUUUUAUGUUAAUUUGGUUCUGUAGGAGAACAAUCUUUUGGAUAAAAGGAUGUUGAGCAGGAUUCUACGCAUCCCGGUAUGUGGAGUGCAGUGUGGCCUAGUGAUUAGUUUGUUUGGUUGUCAGCAAAGAGAGUUGCAAGUUGCAUAAUAUACGGCUAUGGUUUAGAUCAUAGGUGGAGGAGAUGAUUAGAUAGAGCAACACUGAUACUAGUUGGAUGAUUAUAUUUUAUAAUUGGACCAACUUUGUUGUCUGGUAUGAAUUGAGAUUAUUAUCGUUCAAUGACAUUGAGGUUGUAAUAUUUUUUUUAGGCAUUGCAUAUUCUCUAGGGCUGUCCUAGAGAGUGUGCGGUCGUGUGGCAUCCCGAACUCAGGUGUUGGGUUCGGAGCAUGAUAGAGUGGUAUCAGAGCUUAGGUUUAAGAUCAUUGGGGAUUAUGACAAAUAAAAUAUUGGAGCUUAGGUUUAAGAUCAUUAGGGAUUGUG